GACGAACGCUGGCGGCGUGCUUAACACAUGCAAGUCGAACGGUAGGGCUCCAGCUUGCUGGGGUACACGAGUGGCGAACGGGUGAGUAACACGUGGGUGACCUGCCCUGCACUUCGGGAUAAGCCUGGGAAACUGGGUCUAAUACCGGAUAGGACCGCACCGUGAGGGUGUGGUGGAAAGUUUUUUCGGUGUGGGAUGGGCCCGCGGCCUAUCAGCUUGUUGGUGGGGUAAUGGCCUACCAAGGCGGCGACGGGUAGCCGGCCUGAGAGGGUGGACGGCCACAUUGGGACUGAGACACGGCCCAGACUCCUACAGGAGGCAGCAGUGGGGAAUAUUGCACAAUGGGCGGAAGCCUGAUGCAGCGACGCCGCGUGGGGGAUGACAGCCUUCGGGUUGUAAACUCCUUUCACCAUCGACGAAAGGUUUCUGACGGUAGAUGGAGAAGAAGCACCGGCUAACUACGUGCCAGCAGCCGCGGUAAUACGUAGGGUGCGAGCGUUGUCCGGAAUUACUGGGCGUAAAGAGCUCGUAGGUGGUUUGUCGCGUCGUCUGUGAAAUUCCGGGGGCUUAACUCCGGGCGUGCAGGCGAUACGGGCAUAACUUGAGUACUGUAGGGGAGACUGGAAUUCCUGGUGUAGCGGUGAAAUGCGCAGAUAUCAGGAGGAACACCGGUGGCGAAGGCGGGUCUCUGGGCAGUAACUGACGCUGAGGAGCGAAAGCAUGGGGAGCGAACAGGAUUAGAUACCCUGGUAGUCCAUGCCGUAAACGGUGGGCGCUAGGUGUGGGUUUCCUUCCACGGGAUCCGUGCCGUAGCUAACGCAUUAAGCGCCCCGCCUGGGGAGUACGGCCGCAAGGCUAAAACUCAAAGGAAUUGACGGGGGCCCGCACAAGCGGCGGAGCAUGUGGAUUAAUUCGAUGCAACGCGAAGAACCUUACCUGGGCUUGACAUAUACAGGAUCGCGCCAGAGAUGGUGUUUCCCUUGUGGCUUGUAUACAGGUGGUGCAUGGUUGUCGUCAGCUCGUGUCGUGAGAUGUUGGGUUAAGUCCCGCAACGAGCGCAACCCUUGUCUUAUGUUGCCAGCACGUUGUGGUGGGGACUCGUAAGAAACUGCCGGGGUUAACUCGGAGGAAGGUGGGGAUGACGUCAAAUCAUCAUGCCCCUUAUGUCCAGGGCUUCACACAUGCUACAAUGGUCGGUACAGUGGGUUGCCAGUCCGUGAGGGCGAGCUAAUCCCGCAAAGCCGGUCUCAGUUCGGAUCGGGGUCUGCAACUCGACCCCGUGAAGUCGGAGUCGCUAGUAAUCGCAGAUCAGCAACGCUGCGGUGAAUACGUUCCCGGGCCU
rnacentral:rRNA from 1 species